AACGCGAAGAACCUUACCCAGGCUCGAAAUGUAGGUGGCGAUACCAGAGAUGGUAUUUUCCGUAAGGACGCCUACAUAGGUGCUGCAUGGCUGUCGUCAGCUCGUGCCGUGAGGUGUUGGGUUAAGUCCCGCAACGAGCGCAACCCUUAUCAUUAGUUGCCAACACGCAAGGUGGGGACUCUAAUGAGACUGCCUAGGUUAACUAGGAGGAAGGUGAGGAUGACGUCAAGUCCGCAUGGCCUUUAUGUCUGGGGCUACACAUGUGCUACAAUGGUCGGUACAGAAGGCAGCAAGACCGCAAGGUGGAGCAAAUCCGUAAAAACCGAUCUCAGUUCAGAUUGUAGUCUGCAACUCGACUACAUGAAGCUGGAAUUGCUAGUAAUGACGUGUCAGCAACAACGUCGUGAAUACGUUCCCGGGCCUUGUA
rnacentral:rRNA from 1 species